rnacentral:rRNA from 1 species
AUUGAACGCUGGCGGCAUGCCUUACACAUGCAAGUCGAACGGCAGCACGGGGGCAACCCUGGUGGCGAGUGGCGAACGGGUGAGUAACACAUCGGAACGUGCCCAGUAGUGGGGGAUAGCUCGGCGAAAGCCGGAUUAAUACCGCAUACGACCUACGGGUGAAAGCGGGGGAUCGCAAGACCUCGCGCUAUCGGAGCGGCCGAUGUCAGAUUAGGUUGUUGGUGGGGAAAGGCCUACCAAGCCGACGAUCUGUAGCUGGUCUGAGAGGACGACCAGCCACACUGGGACUGAGACACGGCCCAGACUCCUACGGGAGGCAGCAGUGGGGAAUUUUGGACAAUGGGCGCAAGCCUGAUCCAGCCAUGCCGCGUGC